UGAAAAAUAGUCUGAAGCCGUGUAUAAAUUUAAUGGAAUCAAAACAAUGCACUACUACCAAUAUUAUUCAAGCUGGUGUUGAGGUUUAUAUAGAGGACCACUUCAUCAGGCAUGUCUAAUUGGGCAAAGGAAAUGAGCUCAUUAAGUUUAAAGUCAGAAGUUGCACUAUGUCUGAUAAAUGAGUGAAGCAGCAUUUUGAAAUGUUGGACUUUGUCUGCCUUACGAACAGGUAACGUGAAUCAUCAGAUGCUGAGAAAGCUUCUAAAGUAUGUAAUUUGUUUUUCCUUAAUGUAAGUAGUGUCUAAUAUCUGAUCGUGAUUUUUUUUUCGGCAGAAGUUCAAAAGAGAUCUCGUGAAGAGGCACUGAAAGAAAUCAAAGCGGAAAAAAUGCUGAAGAAAGAGGAAAAGCGAGAAGACUCGGAGAGACGUGUGCGAGAGAAAGAAGCUGCUGAUAGCGAUCUAGUCCUUCAUGGGAAUCGUCAAAUAGGGAGGAAUCAAGUCGGCAGAGCUCAAUGCAAUUCUCGAAAGACGAUUUAUCAAUAACACGGAAAUACCAUGAUAGCAAUCAUUACUACACUGGGAGCAGUUCGCAGCCGCAAGUUGUUGAUGAACGGGAACUGAGCAGUAUUUCUAAUUCCAGUGGUGGAUCUCUGCAUAGGCAUAGUCCAGAACCUGACAGAGAUUUGAAGCGGCGAAAAGUCGAAAGCAGCUCUUCAUCGAAGAGUUACAAAGUAGAGGAGCAACCAAAACAUAUUGAGUCUCUGAUAACACUCGACAAGAAAGAAAGGAGGGAUAAGUCUUCAAAGAAAACAUCCAAGUCUUCUGAUGGAGGUGAUUCAGCCAGAAAACCAGAUAAGCGAGAUAGGAAAUCUCGAAAACGGGGUCAAGCAGAUGAAAUCAUAGUCCUAACAGAUCAGCAAAAGAGGAGGAAAGAUGAUACCAAAGCAGGGUCGUCUAAGAUGAAUAGUCAUCAAAAUGGAGAGCCUAUUGAAGUUAUUGGAGAUAAACGUUUUGUAAAUGACAAGUAUGAAAGUGAUCGAAGUCGGGAUAGAGACCGAGACUCAAAAUCUAAACAUACCCGCAGAUCCAGUGAAAGCAAACGGAGGAUAUGAGAUCAGAAUGUAGAAUUUCUACCAGGAUUCAGUACAGCAGGAAGAUCAAGAGAUUCUUACUUCAUUUUGCGAAAUUCGUAGUAUCUCUGGAAAUUAGAAGAAUUGGCAGAAAGCUUGCUGCUUUGAAGACUCAAUUUUAGUAAAAACUAAUAAAAUAUGGAUGACAUCAAUUACAUUUUUUUAUUUUUAUAAUUUGCAAGUUUGGAAAAAACAAAGUGCUCAAAUUCAGCCUCUCUGGAAAAGUCUACUCUUUUGCAUUUCUCAAGUACUCCAUCAAGAAUAUCCGAAAUUUUAGAUCCCCGAAACUUUAGAUCCCCGAAACUUUAAACAUUUGUCUGUAAUUUUAUUUAAUACAUAUUUUUAAAUGUUAAUAACUCGAAAAACACAUAAAAUGAAAAUUGCAAAGUGUUCUAUCUUUCAAAUUGUUACAUUUAUGCCCGUACUUUCUGAGUUACUUUAAAGCAUUUCAUGAUACAAUUUUGUAAAAAAUACAGAGCACACUGCAGAAUAACUGAAGUCUUGAGGAUUUUAAGAAGAACGUUUAAAAUUUAGCAGUGUCAAUUUAAUUAAUCUACGGUCUAGUCUGCAACCUGUUCUCCAUUAUCCUCUACUUUAAGAUUGUUGUAACUUUGGUUCUCUCUACUGCAGUGACUUAGCUGAAUAUUUAAGUAAUACUAAUGUGAAUGUUGAUUGCAUAAAGGUUGCUAAGAAGUUAGUUCAUGCAGAUUGGCUGAAUCUGAACAAUAUAUUUUUGUCCUGACACUCCAGUGGCUCGAUUAUUGGAUCUAUGUUGAUACAUCAAGAUAAGACAAAGCUCUAUCUUAAGAAUUCAAAAUAUCACAUUUUGAUUGUUUUUUGCAUAUCGACGUAGAUUUAAAAUCCAGCCGCUAUCCCCUUCAAAUCUCACUUCCAUUAAAUUUCUAAUUUUGAUACUUAGUUGUAUUUAUAUGACAUUAGUCCAUCUCUAAUGGAUUCUUUCUGUAGAUAGACUUGUUCUCCAAAAAGGAAUAAGGAACAAGGAAAUGGAUACAAGAAACUUUUUGCUCCAUUGUUCCUUAUCGAGUUUUAACCAGUUUUUGACAAUUUGUUACCUUUGUAAUAGUUUUACUUUCCUGGAAAA
rnacentral:lncRNA from 1 species